rnacentral:rRNA from 1 species
GACGAACGCUGGCGGCGUGCUUAACACAUGCAAGUCGAACGGUGAAGCGCCUUCCUUUUUGGUGGGUGUGGAUGAGUGGCGAACGGGUGAGUAACACGUGAGUAACCUGCCCCCUUCUUCUGGAUAACCGCAUGAAAGAGUGGCUAAUACGGGAUAUUCUGGGUCUGUCGCAUGAUGGGUCUGGGAAAGAUAUUGUUUCGGUGGGGGAUGGGCUCGCGGCCUAUCAGCUUGUUGGUGGGGUGAUGGCCUACCAAGGCGGUGACGGGUAGCCGGCCUGAGAGGGUGGACGGUCACACUGGGACUGAGACACGGCCCAGCCUCCUACGGGAGGCAGCAGUGGGGAAUAUUGCACAGUGGGCGCAAGGCUGAUGCAGCGACGCCGCGUGAGGGAUGGAGGCCUUCGGGUUGUGAACCUCUUUCGCCAGUGAAGCGGGCCUGCCUCGUUUGUGGGUGGGUUGACGGUAGCUGGAUAAGAAGCGCCGGCUAACUACGUG